rnacentral:rRNA from 1 species
UGCGAACGGCUCAUUAGAGCAGCUUUUAUUCUCUUCGGUAGUUAAAAAUGGAUAACUGCGGCAAUUCUGGAGCUAAUACACGCAUAAAAUCCCCAACUAACGAAGGGGUGCGGUUAUUAGAACAGACCAAUCGUCUUCGGACGUGGCUGUUGACUCUGAAUAACGUAGCAUAUCGCCGGUUUACCCGGCGACGACCGAAAGAAGUGUCUGCCCUAUCAACCAGAUGGUAGUCUAUUAGACUACCAUGGUUAUAACGGGUAACGGAGAAUCAGGGUUCGACUCCGGAGAGGGAGCCUUAGAAACGGCUACCACAUCCAAGGAAGGCAGCAGGCGCGUAACUUAUCCACUACUUUUGUGAGAUAGGGACGAAAAAUAAAAAGGCCAAUCCUUUGGAUUGGUUAUUUCAAUGAUUUGAGCCUAAAUAGCUCUUUGAUGACCCAGUGGAGGGCAAGUCUGGUGCCAGCAGCCGCGGUAAUUCCAGCU